rnacentral:rRNA from 1 species
GAUGAACGCUGGCGGCGUGCCUAAUACAUGCAAGUCGAGCGAACGGACGAGAAGCUUGCUUCUCUGAUGUUAGCGGCGGACGGGUGAGUAACACGUGGAUAACCUACCUAUAAGACUGGGAUAACUUCGGGAAACCGGAGCUAAUACCGGAUAAUAUUUUGAACCGCAUGGUUCAAAAGUGAAAGACGGUCUUGCUGUCACUUAUAGAUGGAUCCGCGCUGCAUUAGCUAGUUGGUAAGGUAACGGCUUACCAAGGCAACGAUGCAUAGCCGACCUGAGAGGGUGAUCGGCCACACUGGAACUGAGACACGGUCCAGACUCCUACGGGAGGCAGCAGUAGGGAAUCUUCCGCAAUGGGCGAAAGCCAGACGGAGCAACGCCGCGUGAGUGAUGAAGGUCUUCGGAUCGUAAAACUCUGUUAUUAGGGAAGAACAUAUGUGUAAGUAACUGUGCACAUCUUGACGGUACCUAAUCAGAAAGCCACGGCUAACUACGUGCCAGCAGCCGCGGUAAUACGUAGGUGGGCAGCGUUAUCCGGAAUUAUUGGGCGUAAGCGCGCGUACGCGGUUUUUUAAGUCUGAUGUGAAAGCCCACGGCUCAACCGUGGAGGGUCAUUGGAAACUGGAAAACUUGAGUGCAGAAGAGGAAAGUGGAAUUCCAUGUGUAGCGGUGAAAUGCGCAGAGAUAUGGAGGAACACCAGUGGCGAAGGCGACUUUCUGGUCUGUAACUGACGCUGAUGUGCGAAAGCGUGGGGAUCAAACAGGAUUAGAUACCCUGGUAGUCCACGCCGUAAACGAUGAGUGCUAAGUGUUAGGGGGUUUCCGCCCCUUAGUGCUGCAGCUAACGCAUUAAGCACUCCGCCUGGGGAGUACGACCGCAAGGUUGAAACUCAAAGGAAUUGACGGGGACCCGCACAAGCGGUGGAGCAUGUGGUUUAAUUCGAAGCAACGCGAAGAACCUUACCAAAUCUUGACAUCCUUUGACAACUCUAGAGAUAGAGCCUUCCCCUUCGGGGGACAAAGUGACAGGUGGUGCAUGGUUGUCGUCAGCUCGUGUCGUGAGAUGUUGGGUUAAGUCCCGCAACGAGCGCAACCCUUAAGCUUAGUUGCCAUCAUUAAGUUGGGCACUCUAAGUUGACUGCCGGUGACAAACCGGAGGAAGGUGGGGAUGACGUCAAAUCAUCAUGCCCCUUAUGAUUUGGGCUACACACGUGCUACAAUGGACAAUACAAAGGGCAGCGAAACCGCGAGGUCAAGCAAAUCCCAUAAAGUUGUUCUCAGUUCGGAUUGUAGUCUGCAACUCGACUACAUGAAGCUGGAAUCGCUAGUAAUCGUAGAUCAGCAUGCUACGGUGAAUACGUUCCCGGGUCU